GACGAACGCUGGCGGCGUGCCUAAUACAUGCAAGUCGAGCGAGUCUGCCUUGAAGAUCGGAGUGCUUGCACCCUGUGAAACAAGAUACAGGCUAGCGGCGGACGGGUGAGUAACACGUGGGUAACCUGCCCAAGAGAUCGGGAUAACACCUGGAAACAGAUGCUAAUACCGGAUAACAACAGAUGAUGCCUAUCAACUGUUUAAAAGAUGGUUCUGCUAUCACUCUUGGAUGGACCUGCGGUGCAUUAGCUAGUUGGUAGGGUAACGGCCUACCAAGGCGAUGAUGCAUAGCCGAGUUGAGAGACUGAUCGGCCACAUUGGGACUGAGACACGGCCCAAACUCCUACGGGAGGCAGCAGUAGGGAAUCUUCCACAAUGGACGCAAGUCUGAUGGAGCAACGCCGCGUGAGUGAAGAAGGGUUUCGGCUCGUAAAGCUCUGUUGUUGGUGAAGAAGGACAGGGGUAGUAACUGACCUUUGUUUGACGGUAAUCAAUGAGAAAGUGACGGCUAACUACGUG
rnacentral:rRNA from 1 species